AUGGACAAGAGUAAGCUCGAUGCGCAGCCUGAGCUCUUCAUCCACAUCAUCCCCGACAAAGCGACCACCACGCUCACGAUCGUCGACAGCGGCAUUGGCAUGACCAAGUCAGACCUCGUCAACAACCUCGGGACCAUCGUGCAUAAGCUAAACUCUGUUAUUUAUGUCUACCCUGCAUAA
rnacentral:rRNA from 1 species